UACGUAGGGUGCGAGCGUUGUCCGGAAUUAUUGGGCGUAAAGGGCUCGUAGGCGGUCUGUCGCGUCGAAAGGGAAAACCCAGGGCUUAACCCUGGGCCUGCUUCCGAUACGGGCAGACUAGAGGUAUGCAGGGGAGAACGGAAUUCCUGGUGUAGCGGUGAAAUGCGCAGAUAUCAGGAGGAACACCGGUGGCGAAGGCGGGUCUCUGGGCCGAUACUGACGCUGAGGAGCGAAAGCGUGGGGAGCGAACAGG
rnacentral:rRNA from 1 species